UUGGACCUGAUAUCAGACAAGACUACCCGCUGAACUUAAGCAUAUUAAUAAGCGGAGGAAAAGAAACUAACAAGGAUUCCCCUAGUAACGGCGAGUGAAGCGGGAUGAGCUCAAGCUUAAAAUCUCUGUGCAAGUUUUGCAUGGCGAAUUGUAGUCUAUAGAGGCGCUGUCAGUGCAGGCAUUCGGGGUAAGUUCCUUGGAAGAGGACAGCAUCGAGGGUGAUACUCCCGUUUGUACCUGAGUGCUUUGUGCGUACGACACGUUUUCUUUGAGUCGCGUUGUUUGGGACUGCAGCGCAAAGUAGGUGGUAAAUUCCAUCUAAAGCUAAAUAUUGGUGCGAGACCGAUAGCGAACAAGUACCGUGAGGGAAAGAUGAAAAGAACUUUGAAAAGAGAGUUAAAGAGUACCUGAAACUGCUGAAAGGGAAGCGAAUCGUAUCCAGUGUCUAUAAUCUGUGGCAUAUUUCAUUGGCGCAUGUGCGCGUGCUGUGUGUUGGAAGUGGCUUUGCUGCUCCGCGUACGGUUCUGCGUGUGUGUGCUGGUGCCCUGUGUCAUGGUGGGACGUCAGAGUCAGUUCGUAUGCUGCGGGAAAUGGCUAUUGAGGAGGUAGGUCAGGAGCUUGCUCUUGGCUGUUAUAUCUUGGUAGCUAGUGGUCGUGGUUGGGACUGAGGUGCCUACAACGUGCUUUGAGGUCUUGCGGGUUCUUGCUUGGCGGUCUGUCUGGAUAGCUUGCUAUGCUGGUGGGUUCGUCCGGGUGAUUGAGUCUGUUUGUAACCUGUGCCGUUCGGGACUUUGACGAAAUGGAGCGAUUCGGCCCGUCUUGAAACACGGACCAAGGAGUCUAACAUGUGUGCAAGUGUUAGGGUGUGGAAACCCCAGCGCGAAAUGAAAGUGAAGGGUAGCGUACGCUGCCUGAGGUAGGAAACCUUUGUUUUCAGAGGUGGCACUAUCGACCGAUCAUGAACCUUCGUGGUGAAAGAUUUGAGUAUGAGCACAUAUGUUGGUACCCGAAAGAUGGUGAACUAUGCCUGAGUAGGGUGAAGCCAGGGGAAACUCUGGUGGAAGCUCGUAGCGAUUCUGACGUGCAAAUCGAUCGUCAAACUUGGGUAUAGGGGCGAAAGACUAAUCGAACCAUCUAGUAGCUGGUUCCCUCCGAAAUUUCCCUCAGGAUAGCAGCAACUUAUUUACGAUAGUUUUAUGAGGUAAAGCGAAUGAUUAGAGGACUGGGGGAAGAAACUUCCUUCACCUAUUCUCAAACUUUAAAUCUGUAAGACCUGCAGGUUUCUUAAUUGAACUUGUGGAUGUGAAUAUCAAGUUGCUAGUGGGCCAUACGGGGUAAGCUCGUCUGGCGAUGCGGGAUGAUCCGAACGCAAAGUUAAAGUGCCAAAAUACCCGCUCACCUAGAUACCAUAAAAGGUGUUGGUUCAUUUAGACAGCAGGACGGUGGCCAUGGAAGUCGGAAUCCGCUAAGGAGUGUGUAACAAC
rnacentral:rRNA from 2 species